CGGCGUUCAUUAAAAUGCACGGUCGACGAUUUUCUACAACAAUCGUUUGUUAUUGAGUAAGAAAAGGAAUAAAAAAAACUUAUGGUCUUGCUUUUGCAACGUUUUGGUUUCGAAUUAGUUAAAACGCGCGUGACUCGUCGUAUAUUUUGCGGAAUAAUUCGCAGUCGUUUAGAAUUCUUUAAACAAACCGCAUGUCAAAAAACGUUUAAAAUAAAAACAGAAAGUAAACCAAACCGCUUAUCGCGUUAUCUUAAAACUCGUAAACCUCAGUAACAUGAAGAGUCCCUCCUUUAUGAGUCGGCCUCUAUAAAUAUUUGAUUCGAUAAGUCAUCAACGCGAAAUUAUUAUUGCUAGUAUAACUCAUUCUUUAUUCAACAAGUGAUCAGAAAAGGUACAAAAUUUAAAAUGUCUUCGUUGGUUAAAAGUAUGUCUUUUAGGAAGAAACCCGGAUAUGACAUGAACCCAAAUAAAAUUAAUCCCAAAGAUUUAGAUUUACCUCAUAUCCAACCCGAACCAGAACGCAAAAAGAACACAAAUUUUCCCGAAAACGAUAACUCAUCAGGAAAAUACACAGUUUGUAAUGUAAAAUACAAUACAUUUGAUACUAAAUAAAACAUUUAUUUUUAA